AAUGAACGCUGGCGGCAUGCCUAACACAUGCAAGUCGAACGAGACCUUCGGGUCUAGUGGCGCACGGGUGCGUAACGCGUGGGAACCUGCACUUAGGUUCGGCAUAACUCCCCGAAAGGGGUGCUAAUACCGGAUAAUGUCUUCGGACCAAAGAUUUAUCGCCUUUGGAUGGGCCCGCGUUGGAUUCGCUAGUUGGUAGGGUAAUAGCCUACCAAGGCGACGAUCCAUAGCUGGUCUGAGAGGAUGAUCAGCCACACUGGGACUGAGACACGGCCCAGACUCCUACGGGAGGCAGCAGUGGGGGAUAUUGGACAAUGGGCGAAAGCCUGAUCCAGCAAGGCCGCGUGAGUGAUGAAGGCCGUAGGGUUGUAAAGCGCUUGUACCCGGGAUGAUAAUGACAGUACCGGGAGAAUAAGCUCCGGCUAACUCCGUG
rnacentral:rRNA from 1 species